rnacentral:rRNA from 1 species
AUUGAACGCUGGCGGCAGGCCUAACACAUGCAAGUCGAGCGGAUGAAGGGAGCUUGCUCCUGGAUUCAGCGGCGGACGGGUGAGUAAUGCCUAGGAAUCUGCCUGGUAGUGGGGGAUAACGUCCGGAAACGGGCGCUAAUACCGCAUACGUCCUGAGGGAGAAAGUGGGGGAUCUUCGGACCUCACGCUAUCAGAUGAGCCUAGGUCGGAUUAGCUAGUUGGUGGGGUAAAGGCCUACCAAGGCGACGAUCCGUAACUGGUCUGAGAGGAUGAUCAGUCACACUGGAACUGAGACACGGUCCAGACUCCUACGGGAGGCAGCAGUGGGGAAUAUUGGACAAUGGGCGAAAGCCUGAUCCAGCCAUGCCGCGUGUGUGAAGAAGGUCUUCGGAUUGUAAAGCACUUUAAGUUGGGAGGAAGAGCAGUGAGUUAAUACCUUGCUGUUCUGACGUUACCAACAGAAUAAGCACCGGCUAACUUCGUG